UAAAAUUCCCUAUCACUACUACGUGAUGAUCUCGUACGUAGAGUCUCGUUCAUUUUGACAGCUGAAUGUUGUGUUCAUUCAGUAUCCAUCCUACUGUGUGUCGGACGCACCGAAAACCGUAAACGACAUUUUAACCGAUCAAUCAUCCAACUUGGUGAAAAAAAGCUGCAGCCAGGAUGUUUCCGAUAGUGACUACCGGACUUACGUGUAAAGUUCAAAAUGACACAAAUUUGCUCGAGCCUCCAAUUUUCCAUGAAAUAACAACUAUAGAUUCAUUCAAUGGAGUUUUUAAUAAGAACAUCUCCCGCCCGCGUGCAAGAACCAGCUUCUCGGACCAUCUAGACUAUGGAAGCAUUGCACUAAAUGUGAGAAUUAAAGAUCAUCAGUGCAAUAAAUAAUGCAGUUAAGAAAAUUAUAUCUGAGUUCAA